UACGAAGGGUGCAAGCGUUACUCGGAAUUACUGGGCGUAAAGCGUGCGUAGGUGGUUCGUUAAGUCUGAUGUGAAAGCCCUGGGCUCAACCUGGGAACUGCAUUGGAUACUGGCGAUCUGGAGUGCGGUAGAGGGUGGCGGAAUUCCCGGUGUAGCAGUGAAAUGCGUAGAUAUCGGGAGGAACAUCCGUGGCGAAGGCGGCCACCUGGACCAGCACUGACGCUGAGGAGCGAAAUCCAGGGGAGCAAACGGG
rnacentral:rRNA from 1 species